rnacentral:rRNA from 1 species
GAUGAGCGCUGGCGGCGUGCCUAAUACAUGCCAGUCGAGCGAACGGACGAGAAGCUUGCUUCUCUGAUGUUGGCGGCGGACGGGUGAGUAACACGUGGAUAACCUACCUAUAAGACUGGGAUAACUUCGGGAAACCGGAGCUAAUACCGGAUAAUAUUUUGAACCGCAUGGUUCAAAAGUGAAAGACGGUCUUGCUGUCACUUAUAGAUGGAUCCGCGCUGCAUUAGCUAGUUGGUAAGGUAACGGCUUACCAAGGCAACGAUGCAUAGCCGACCUGAGAGGGUGAUCGGCCACACUGGAACUGAGACACGGUCCAGACUCCUACGGGAGGCAGCAGUAGGGAAUCUUCCGCAAUGGGCGAAAGCCUGACGGAGCAACGCCGCGUGAGUGAUGAAGGUCUUCGGAUCGUAAAACUCUGUUAUUAGGGAAGAACAUAUGUGUAAGUAACUGUGCACAUCUUGACGGUACCUAAUCAGAAAGCCACGGCUAACUACGUG